rnacentral:rRNA from 1 species
UACGAAGGUGGCAAGCGUUGUUCGGAUUUACUGGGCGUACAGGGCGCGUAGGCGGUUGGGUAAGCCCUCCGUGAAAUCUCCAGGCUUAACCUGGAACGUGCAGAGGGGACUGUUCAGCUAGAGGAUGGGAGAGGAGAGCGGAAUUCCCGGUGUAGCGGUGAAAUGCGUAGAGAUCGGGAGGGAGGCCGGUGGCGAAGGCGGCGCUCUGGAACAUUUCUGACGCUGAGGCUCGAAAGCGUGGGGAGCAAACAGG